rfam:Xenorhabdus cabanillasii JM26, WGS project CBXE01000000 data, contig: XENCA_2134_Contig_128
UUCAAUGGCGGUUCAGGCAGGGGAGGCUUCGGCCUCACCGGUUGGAUACAUCCGGUCUGCAAACCCUGCCUUGAAUCGCCACCAUC